UGCACCCGGGAACCAGAGGCGAUCUUGCAAUUCCGGGGGCCAGGCCCUCGGUGCGCAAAGGCUCUGCGCCCGAGGGGAGACGCGUGACCGUGACUGCCCUCUGACAUUUUCCCCCAGCUGCUUCGCUCGAGAUGGAAAAUUGACAGGGACCAACUUUGCAACAACGUGUCCGUGUGACGGAGCCGAGCAAAUACUGCGGAUGCUGCAGACCAGCUGAGCGCUGCCUCGUGGCCCAGUGCCCCGAGGAUGCAGGGUGUUGAAGAAGCCUCGCUUCCUCCUCCCAGAGCCGCAAAACUGAGAGCAGGGCCAAAGAGGACGCUUCUGGGACCCCGCCACCGGUGCUGGCGUCCCCGCGCUGGCUGUCACCUGGCCUUGGGUCUGCAAGGUGGAUUUAAAGCUCCCAGCCCUCCGGCACCCGCCCAAUGGAAGCUGCAGCGGCCGCCGAGCAGGGGCUGAGACAGACCAGUUCCCCCACUGGACGGAGACGGCUUUGGCUGUCUCUGGAGCCACGUUUCCUCCGAGCCUUUGGAAACCAGCGGAGAAGUCAGCUCACCUGACAAGCUUUUGGAGGUGCACUCAGCACGUCUGAGCGAGGUUGUGUUUUCCUGCUUUUAUGUUGCCACGCCUGGUAAUCUACUCUGGGAACCAGACAUCGUGGAUGACACCGAGAUCGAUAGCAUCGCAGACUGAUCCUUGGACACUCGCCCUGAAUAUGAAACCCUGGAAUGGGGAGAGAGUUGCUUACCAAAGAUAUAGAAGACAAAAGGCCACCCGAGGGUUUGGCUGAUGAUGCCACCCAGGAGGAUGAUGGUGAAGGUUCCCAGCAUCAUUCCUGCAAAGAGACAGAGUAACCUGUGGGGCUGUGGACCACCACUGGAUAGACACCGACAGAAUGACGGAUGAUAUGUUAACGUGGUGUCACCAACCAUAACCAGACUAGCGUAUCAGAGUACGUGAACUUCAGAUUUAUCACUUAGUUCUCCUGAGGGCCCAUUUUUCUGGGAGUUCCCUAAUAGCAUUGCAGACAACAGCCAUGCUUCUUCCUCCCGUGUUAUUUUAAUUUUUAAUUACACAAGUCAUAUGCUUAUUGAGAAAGUAAAUUAUCGCGAAGCAGAGUCCGCGACGUGCCGCCCCCAUCCGUUCCCACUCUUGUCUCUAAUAUUAACCAUUACCUGUUAUGUGAUAUAUCGUUGCAUAGCUUUCCUCCCUGCAAACAUAUAUAAUAUGUAUCUACACACACACUCACCUCUUGGUAAAGGCAUUUAAGCCACAUGCAGGCAGAAAGCUAGAUUUGUCUGUUACGGUGCCAAUAACACUUUUAAUUUCCCUGGCUUCACAGAGCAUUCUCAUACAUAGUAGGGCACCCUUCCUUCCAACAACUUUUCCAAAACUCGGCUAUUAUGUGUUUUUAUUUUCCAGAUUAACACCAACUUGCCAAAUUACAGAUGCGUGAGUUUUUAUUUGUUUGUUCCUUUUAUUUAUUAUCUAUUUAUUUAGUUUUUAACGUAAUUUUUCUUAUUUUUUAAGGUUUAUUUGUGUUCGAGAGAGAGACAGGAUACAUAGGCCGUGUUCAUUAACGAUAAGUAAUUCGCUAAGAAUGAUAUGUUUGUCUUGGAAUGUAGAUAGAAAAAGGUGGAAAGAACAGCAGACACAUAAUACUAGGUAGGCAAUAAUUAUAAACACAAGACUCUAGCUGUUCGCGGGCAUAUCCAAUCGGAGGUGUGCGGGAACCAGAGAAAAGUGUGCACAUCUCUUCCCAACUCGGCAUUCAGUGACUUGAAGUUGCUGUCUUUAAAUCAGCCGUGAUGGUAGUAUUUAGAGCACAGAAAUUGAUAAAUAUGUUGAAUCCGCUUUUUUUUUUUUCCUUCCUAGAAAAAGCCUGUUUACCAGCCCAGUGGUGGUGACUUGUGACAGUGGGGGCCUCAUUCAGCCAUCCGCUGGGAAUUCCCAUUCUGGCCCCCAGACCACUCUGCCUGCAGACGGAAGUAACACCCCUGGCAGUAACAGGUUCUUUAGCGGCUAAGUGGAGGCCCCCCGGCCCUGUGUCUCUCGCAUAGAGCAAGUGUGUGUCACUGGCCCAGGGUGCCGCCCCUCCGUGGGCUCCCUCGCCUGAAGCCCAGCUCUGGUUCUCCCAUCCACACCAUCAACGGGCAGGAUAAUGCAGCAGACAGACAGAGACAGGGUGUUCGAACAUUCAGCACGCGUGACCCAGGCCUGGACUGCCUCACAGCUGGCCCUGAGGAGGGAGAGCAACAUCCUGUCCCCUGGGUUUGAGGCCACAUUCCACUGGAUGAAAGCACUAUGGCGUGCCACAUUCCUGGUUUCCCACAACUUGACCUAUUCUUUUUUUUUUUUUUUUAAUUUAUUUUUGGGACAGAGAGAGACAGAGCAUGAACAGGGAAGGGGCAGAGAGA